rnacentral:rRNA from 1 species
AGGAUUCCCCUAGUAACGGCGAGUGAAGAGGGAAGAGCCCAGCACCGAAGCCUGCGGCAGUUUUGCUGUUAGGCAAUGUGGUGUUUGGGUCGGCUCGUGGGACCGCCACUCCACUCGAAGUCCAGCAUAGAGUAUGGUUUCUGGAUUUGGCCCAGAGAGGGUGAAAGGCCCGUACGGGUGGAGUAUCAGACAUGUGAGGUGGUUCACCAGGCCGGCCUUAGAGUCGGGUUGUUUGGGAAUGCAGCCCAAAGCGGGUGGUAAACUCCAUCCAAGGCUAAAUACUAGCACGAGUCCGAUAGCGAACAAGUACCGUGAGGGAAAGUUGAAAAGUACUCUGAAGAGAGAGUAAACAGUACGUGAAACCGCAUGCAGGUAAACGGGUGGCGUCAAGCUGCAGGCCCAGAGAAUUCAGUCGGCUAGGAUGUUGUGUAUGCGCCUGGCGCAUCUAUCAGUCGGAGUAUGAUUGGGUAGUCCACCAGUAAACGGUGGGCCUGGCCGCGAGGUCGGGAUAUGUGUACCGGACGGGUGCCGGAGCAUGCUAUCCAUCUGUGGACUGUCUAGCCGGUGCACUUUCUCUGUUGUUCACACCACGACCGGUGGUAUUGCCAGUCUGCUGUGUCCAAGUUGCAUCUGGUGGGUCCUCGUGGCCUACUGGGUGUGAUCACAGGCAAAGUCAGUAAACGGCGUAGAGGUGUCUCGGCACUUUUGCGUGUUAUCGGAUGCUGUUUGUGAACGGGCCUGCUCGGUGUUUGUUGUAACCGACGCUGGGUGGUCCGGUGGGACAUGGUGGUAAGAAUAACUGUGCAAGGCACCGGGGUUAUCGGCCUCAAAUGCGCCCUGCACCCACGUUGCAAGUGGUAUUUAAUAUCGGCGGUGUCGCUGCUGCCUGCCCGUUGUUGGGUGUGAUUGGCGUGUUGCCUGCUCAAAGUGGUAGGUCCGCCAGUGGCUCGACUCGGGAUGGGUAGUUGGCGGUGUUGUCGGUGUGGGGCGUCGUGGGCCAAAUAGUCUGUGGUG